GGGGGAUAUUGCACAAUGGGGGAAACCCUGAUGCAGCGACGCCGCGUGAGGGAAGACGGUCCUCUGGAUUGUAAACCUCUGUCUUCGGGGACGAAACGAGACGGUACCCGAGGAGGAAGCCACGGCUAACUACGUGCCAGCAGCCGCGGUAAUACGUAGGUGGCAAGCGUUGUCCGGAAUUACUGGGUGUAAAGGGAGCGUAGGCGGGCAGGCAAGUCAGGCGUGAAAUAUAUCGGCUCAACCGGUAACGGCGCUUGAAACUGCAGGUCUUGAGUGAAGUAGAGGUUGGCGGAAUUCCUAGUGUAGCGGUGAAAUGCGUAGAUAUUAGGAGGAACACCAGUGGCGAAGGCGGCCAACUGGGCUUUUACUGACGCUGAGGCUCGAAAGUGUGGGGAGCAAACAGGAUUAGAUACCCUGGUAGUCCACACCGUAAACGAUGAUUACUAGGUGUGGGGGGACUGACCCCUUCCGUGCCGGAGUUAACACAAUAAGUAAUCCACCUGGGGAGUACGGCCGCAAGGUUGAAACUCAAAGGAAUUGACGGGGGCCCGCACAAGCAGUGGAGUAUGUGGUUUAAUUCGACGCAACGCGAAGAACCUUACCAGGUCUUGACAUCGUAUGCAUAGUGUAGAGAUACAUGAAGUCCUUCGGGACAUACAGACAGGUGGUGCAUGGUUGUCGUCAGCUCGUGUCGUGAGAUGUUGGGUUAAGUCCCGCAACGAGCGCAACCCUUGUAUUUAGUUGCUACGCAAGAGCACUCUAGAUAGACUGCCGUGGACAACACGGAGGAAGGUGGGGAUGACGUCAAAUCAUCAUGCCCCUUAUGACCUGGGCUACACACGUACUACAAUGGCAAUGGAACAGAGGGAAGCGACUCAGCGAUGAGAAGCAGAUCCCGAAAAAUUGUCUCAGUUCGGAUUGCAGGCUGCAACCCGCCUGCAUGAAGUCGGAAUUGCUAGUAAUCGCGGAUCAGCAUGCCGCGGUGAAUACGUUCCCG
rnacentral:rRNA from 1 species